CCUACGGGAGGCUGCAGUGGGGGAUAUUGCACAAUGGGGGGAACCCUGAUGCAGCGACGCCGCGUGGGUGAAGAAGCGCCUCGGCGCGUAAAGCCCUGUCAGCAGGGACGAAAAUGACGGUACCUGACGAAGAAGCCCCGGCUAACUACGUGCCAGCAGCCGCGGUAAUACGUAGGGGGCAAGCGUUAUCCGGAUUUACUGGGUGUACAGGGGGCGAAGACGGCGAUGCAAGCCAGGAGUGAAAGCCCGGGGCCCAACCCCGGGACUGCACUUGGAACUGCAUGGCUGGAGUGCAGGAGGGGCAGGCGGAAUUCCUGGUGUAGCGGUGAAAUGCGUAGAUAUCAGGAGGAACACCAGUGGCGAAGGCGGCCUGCUGGACGGCAACUGACGUUGAGGCCCGAAAGCGUGGGGAGCAAACAGGAUUAGAUACCCGAGUAGUC
rnacentral:rRNA from 1 species